rnacentral:ribozyme from 1 species
ACGAAAAAACAAAACAAAACAAAAACAAACAAUAAUUAAUAAUGAUGACACAUAAAGGCACCAUCAAUAAAAAAAACAUAUUUUUUACAGUUUUGGGGUGCUUUGCUUUCUUC